rnacentral:lncRNA from 1 species
UGUGAUUUGGCCUUCACUAGAUUCCCAGAAAUCUGUGGGCUGGAAAUGCCAUGAAGAUUAGGCAAAAGUGAAAUCUUUUAGUUUAUCCAGACAUAUUUGUCUCUGCUCAGCAGAGCAAAUACAUUUGCUUUCCAUAUUUGCCCAUCAGUUAAAGGAUUUUUGGUUACUGCUGCCAAUUUUUAGCUGCUUCAAAGCCUGGACAAUUCUUUUGUCUCUUCUUCAUCACGUGAGCUAACAUGAUGAAGAAAAGGUGGGUGAAGGAGGAACAUGCACAUACCCACACAAAGAUCAAAGACCAAGCAGAACUCUCAAGCAGCCUAAAUAGAUAACAUUAUCAAACUCCCCGUCUGCUUCUCUACAGCUCCGUUAAUACCUCUGGGAUCAAAGAACUGAAGGACCCAGUCAGAGUAA